GACGUAGGGCGCGAGCGUUGUCCGGAUUUAUUGGGCGUAAAGAGCUCGUAGGCGGUGUGUCGCGUCGGCCGUGAAAACCUGCAGCUUAACUGUGGGCUUGCGGUCGAUACGGGCAUCACGUGGAGUUCGGUAGGGGAGACUGGGAAUUCCUGGUGUGAAGCGGUGAAAUGCGCAGAUAAUCAGGAGGAACGCCGGUGGCGAAGGCGGGGUCUC
rnacentral:rRNA from 1 species